CCUAAUUAGGAAAAGCCCGCCAGCUUGGAGCGAUCCAGAGCCUUAGUUUUGCCUCUCAGUCAACAAAACGAAAGCUUCCAAUUUCCAGGGUUUUGACAGAGAAGAGCACAGCCGUGGCAGCAAAGCUUACAAUGGCGAGGAUAAAGGUUCACGAGCUGAGGAACAAGUCCAAGGCGGAGCUGUUGAGCCAAUUGAAGGACUUGAAAGCAGAGCUCGCUCUCCUCCGCGUUGCUAAGAAAAGUUGUGAGGUUAUCGAUCGCGCAGGUUUUGACGGUGAUAUCGCAGAAGCAAAAAGCGGCCUUUCGGGAAGCUUAUAAGAAGAAGAAGUUCCUUCCUUUGGAUCUCCGUCCCAAGAAGACACGUGCCAUUCGCCGACGCCUUACUAAACACCAGGCAUCUUUGAAGACAGAGCGAGAAAAGAAGAGGGAGAUGUAUUUCCCAUUAAGGAAAUAUGCCAUCAAAGUGUAAUGGAGCCAAGUGUUCUUUUUCUUUUUUUGUGUGAGUUACUUGUUUAGAAGUCUAAAAAGUUCUGAAUCGCGGUUUAGAUGCAGCCUAUAUGAGCAUCAUUUUUUGUCCCUUUAUCAGUUUUUCCGUAAGAACAUCUUGCUUGAGCAUUUAUAAUAUGAUUUCUCAUCUCA